CCCUUAGAUGUUCUGGGCCGCACGCGCGCUACACUGAUGAAUGCAACGAGCUCUACCCUUGACCGAAAGGCCCGGGUAAACUUGUGAAACUUCAUCGUGAUGGGGAUAGAUUAUUGCAAUUAUUAAUCUUCAACGAGGAAUUCCUAGUAAGCGCGAGUCAUCAGCUCGCGUUGAUUACGUCCCUGCCCUUUGUACACACCGCCCGUCGCUCCUACCGAUCGAAGAGUUAGGUGAAUUGUUUUGAUCGAUAAGAUUUGACUAUGGUCAACUCUCGUUGUGAAAUUCUGUGAAUCUGACUGUUUAGAGGAAGGAAAAGUCGUAACA
rnacentral:rRNA from 1 species